UAGCUUCAGUUUUCUAAAUUGCAAAGCAAAAUAAAUAGUCCAAGAUGGUCUCUAAAAUAUAUUAUUUUCUAAUGUACCAUAUUAUACAACAUACUAUGUAUCAUUAAUGCCAGCAUUUCUUACCGUCAUAAAAAUAAUUGACUUCCUGGACAUUCUCAUUUACUCCUCCGAAUUUAGUUUCUUAAUAAGGUCAUGAGAGAAGCAUAGAUCUGAUAUAAGCAGAAGAGAAACUGUAAGACCACAGAUAAAACUGAUGAGUUAGCUCCCUUAGUUGCAAGAUGAUGCACACAAAUUCCCUAGCCUUUGCCACGAGGGAACACCUUUCUCCCCAGAGCCACUUCUGUCUCUUGAUACUUGUGCAGUGACACGCAGUUUUUGUGCCAAAUGCCCUCAAUAUUUGUGCCAAAGAUUUUCUGCAAUGAAAACCAGGAAUAAGUUAGGACUUUCUGAACCAAAAGUAGUGUCACUGUGAUGAUUCCUUCCAUUCUACCCUCUUCCCUGACAGAAUAUCAAUGCCAAGUGAUAAGGCAUGAAUAUAUACACUCGUGUGAUUCCUCACGUUUGUAAAAUCUAUGUGUAACAUGCUGUGCUUGUUGCAUUCCCAAAAUUAAGGUUCUUUGGAAGGUAAACUGGUAAGAGGUUCCAAUAUUAUCUGGGGGUUGAAGCAGGAGAGUCAGUAAACUAAGCCGUUUCUUAUUUAACUCUCCAUAGAAUAAGUUCAACAAACAUAGGGUAAUUUACCCAGAUGUUUAUUGUGCAUCUUCAGAUACAUUGAACCAAAAAGAAAGUACAGAAAAGGAAUGUGAUGUAAGUUCAUGAUGUGGGAGGGGAAGCAGUGGAUUACCAGUUGUUCCUAUAGGAUUUCAUCCUUAGGCCAGGAUUUCUUACACCCAACUCAGUUUUGUGAUGGAUGAGAUUUAAAUGGUUUACCAGUCUCGCUAGGGAGUAAAUAAGAGAAAUUAAGAAAUCUUGUCCUGAACAGAGACCCACAGGCUUCUGAAAUAAAUUCAGGAGUGAGUCUGUGUGUUUAAGUGCUUUUGCAUUGAGACAUAGAAAAUUCUUCGGUAUCACAGGGCAUUUUUUUUUUUUUUUACACUGCCAGGUCCAGAAUUUCUACACUAAUUUUGAAUGUAUACAUUGACAAGAUAGCAACUGACAAUAUGGAAGGAACAGGAGAGGCUUGCCAGAGAGAUGAAUGAUGAGGUAACAGGCAGUCCGAGAUGACAGUUGCUCCUCUUAAAAUGACACAAAAGAAGAGCUUAAUGAAAUAACAUAAAGGAGAAAAGCAUUUGAAAUAGUUAAAAUACCAGCUAUUGGUGGUGGUUAAGUCAGGGAGUUAAUCAGGGUGGAACUGUUACACAAGUGAUGGAACCCAUCUUAAGACACUCAGAAAUGUCUCUUACAAAAAGACAAAAGAAGGCAGAAGAACCAAAGUAAAUGUGAUUUCAGGAAAGCAAAAUAUAGAAGCAAAGAAAGAAAAGGGAGGAGGCUUUUCCCUCCACCCACGGUGAGCUGUAUCUCCUGUCACUCUCCACAUUAAUUGUAAAAGUGAGUGACUUUUUCACCUUAUAUAUUUGCAUGUUAAAGAUAUCCCUGUACCAAAGUUAUAACACACUUUAUGCUUUUAGAUGAACUGUUCCCGCUAAAUGAAAUUCUUAAAUUAAGCUUUUACUUUAUUCGAUAGUAGUUGUCAAUAUAGUGCUGUCUGGUAUCACAGAUGCCAGGAAUCUGGAAGGUAAGGAAAUAUUUCCAAAUUAAUCUAAAGGUCAUAACUACAUUACAACUGUCUCAGUGGACAGUGAGGAUUAGGGCAUGGAGUAAACAAUCAAAACAAAUUAACACAGCCUCAAUAUUUGAAACCCAAAUCUUGAUAAGGCAAGACUGAGCAAUCUGCCAGACUUGGCCAUAUCCCAAAAAGGUCAUUAGGAGGAUGAGUUCUCUUUUUUUUUUUUUCUUCAUGUGCACAAUUUGCUCCUGAGGAAGUUUUUGAUUUCCUAAGGAUAACCACAGGAUUAAGACAUCAUUUAGCUAGUUCUUAAUCAUAAUUUUGAACAAAAGCCAAAGUUCGAUGCAUUUAACCAUGUGAUUCUUCAUACUGGACGAGAUCAUAGCGAUAACCUGUGAAGAAACUUUCUUUUAGGAGACAGACCUGCUCAACUGGAGGGAAAGAACACUGCUUUCCCCGCUGUGUGUGGUCUUCAAAUAUUUUGAAAAGCUGUCAGUGGAAAAUGCAAUCCAUCUAUUUGUCCACCUUAACAGGACAAGAGUAAUGAUUAAUUAGACAUUUCAGCAGAGACAUUUCUUGGGACACAAGCUCCCCGCCUUCAAAGCUAGAGAACUGGAGACAAACAACAAAUUUAAAACGGGGUUUAUGGAAGGAGCAGAGGAGAAUAGGCUUUGUUACCAGAAAUAGUUGAACUGUGACUGAGUACUCACCAAAAAGGACCUGGUGGACAUUGAAAUCAUGUAGGCCUGUUCUGAAGAUGUUGGGGCCACAAGCAGACGUUUGCAUGUCCUGAAGCAGUAUGUAGGUCAUCUCUUUUCUUGGCCUUCCGUUUCUAUCUGUACCUUCUGUUGGCCAAACUCAGCCAGAAGCCAAGCGACCUGGGAAGUGGGAAAACAGCCAACAAAAGUAUACCUCUCUGUGACGUGUAGCAAGGCAGGAAAAAGACAGGGGUUCUCAGGGCAACGUGGAAAGGAUUGGUAUGGUGACCCAGAGAAUUCACAUUUUCACUCAGUUUGAGUUGCAUUCCUGAAACGUAGAGGUGACAUUUAAGCUGAAAUAUUAGAGAUAAUAGCAAACUAGACUUGUGAAUAUCUUUUAAAGAGCAUUGCAGGUAGGAAACAGCAUGUACAAACUCCUGGACCAAAUGCAUCUGAGGAGCAGAGGCACCCAGUGUGGCUGGAGCAGCUUGUAGGGGGUGGUGGGUGUGUUUAGGGCUGAGAACAGAUUGGAUCCAGAUUAUUAUGGCCAUGAUGGGACAUCCAGACAUCUUCUCAGAGUGACAGGUGUUCACUGAAAAGGGUUUACCAGGAGAAGAACAAAUUCUGAUGAUUGUUUUGAAAAUAUCACUACAGCUGCACAGAAAAAGAUGACUAAAGACGCAUAAAACAGGAAUAAUUAUAGGUCAUAUGCAAUUUUUCAUUAGCAUUUAUUAAUACAGUUUCAGCAAAACGAUUCUAAAAUAUGAUUGAAGUAGUAAUGUUAUAUUUAUAAUUUAAAACGUGAAUGAAAAAGCAUAAUAUUUCUAUGAUUUGGAAGUAUUUUACAAGUUUUAUGAAUGUAAUAUAGUUGUUUCCUUUUUCCUCCACAGUUAAGAAAUUGGUAUACCAUAAAUUGUUGGUAUGAUUUAUUUUUAAAUCAGGCUAUAUUUUGUAAAUGUUAUGUGAUAACGUAAAUCCGUGAUUUCAGCAGAUCAGUGGAAUAUUAAUAUAUUUUAAGAAUCAUGUUUGAAAACAUACAGGUUUUUUUUGUCUUUAAUUGUUAUUACUGGAAAGAGAAAAACAUUUAUUUUGAUACUUAUUUAGUGGUAAGUUUUUUUGCUUUUUUUCCUACCACAUUUUUCUUUAAAAUGUAGUAUGUUUAUGGUAGAAAACCCCAUUGUGACAAUGUUAAAAAGUGUGCAGAGUUGCAUGUGAGGAAGAUGUAGGACUCUGUGGGUAGGACUUUGGAAUUAAUUUUCAAAUCGGGAUUUUAGGUUUCUUGUGGAAGAGACUGUCAUGUUUUUCUUACAGAUGUCUGUUUAAAUAUUGAUUAAUACAUACUCACCAAAAGGAAAUAGAUCUUCUUAUCUUCCUGCUCAACUUAAAAAAAAUACUUAUUGAGAUUUCUGUUAGAUCUUAUUAGUCAUUCUUAUGCAGGUGCAUAAGUAUAGGUCUUAGCUUAAAUAAAUAGAGUAACUGUCAAAAUAGCUUAUCUCUCUGCUCACUUUCUGUUGUGAGGAGGACAUAGGUAGUCAAGGGAUAAAACUUUUGUUUAACUCAUGGAAUCAGUUGUCUGCUUUAGGGAAAGACACUAUUUUUGGAGUCUCAGUGUCUCCAUUUGGAGACAGAUCUGCUACCUUACAUUUUUUUAAAAUUAAAGUAUAGCUGAUUUACAAUGUUUUGCCAGUUUCUGCUGUACAGCAAAGUGACCCAGCCAUCAUAUAUAUGUGUGUGUGUGUAUGUGUGUAUUUUCUUUUUUUUGUGUGUGUAUUUUCUUAAAUUAUCUUCCAUCAUGUUUUAUCCCAAGGGAUUGUAUAUGGUUCCCUGUGCUAUACUGUAGGACCUUUUGCUUAUCCAUUCUAAGUGUAAAAAUUUGCAUCCACUAACCCCAAACUCCAAGUCCCUCCCACUCCCUUCCCUUCCCCCUUAGCAACCACAGUCUGUUCUCUGUCUGUGAAUCUGUUUGUUUUGUACACAGGUUUAUUUGUGCCAUAUUUUAGAUUUAACAUAUAAAUGAUAUCAUACGGUAUAUGUCUUUGUCUUUCUGAUUUACAUCACUUAGUCGAGAACCUCUAGUUGGAUCCAUGUGGCUGCAAAUGGUAUUGUUUCAUUUUUAUGGCUGAGUAAUAUUCCAUUGUGUAUAUAUACCACAUCUUCUUAAUCCAUUCUUCUCCUGAUAGACAUUUAGGUCGUUUGCAUGUCUUGACUGUUGUGAAGAGGGCACAAUAUGGACAAACAUAUGGGUGCACAUGUUUUUGAAUUGUAGUUUUGACUGCAUGUAUACCCAGGAGUGGGAUUGAUGGGUCAUGUGGUAGUUCUAUAUUGAGUUUUCUGAGGAACUUGCAUACUCUUCUCCAUAGUGGUUGUACCAGUUCGUAUUCCUACCAAUAGUGUUAGGAGGAUUCCCUUUCCUCCAUUACCCUCUCCAGCAUUUGUUAUUUGUAGACAUGCUAAUGAUGGCUGUUCUGAUUAGUGUGAGGUGGUACCUCAUUGUAGUUUUGAUUUGCAUUUCUCUAAUAAUUAAUGUCGUUGAGCAUUUUUCGUAUGCCUACUGGCCAU
rnacentral:lncRNA from 1 species